CGUUUACGCGCCAUCCUGCCCGUAAAAAAAAUGAAGCUAUAUUAUUAUUAUUAUUGUGUUGCGUGUAUGUAACAUGACUCGUUUAUAAUGUACUGUAUUUAUUUACAUAUUGUUUACGAAUAAAACGUGUGUUUGUUUAAACUGUAUAACUACUAACUACUCGCCAAGAACGCCAAGAACUUGCUUGCAUACUUGGGGCCGCUUAAAAUGUUAAAUCCAGUGAAAACAAUUAAGUUUUGUAUGUUUAUUGAUAAUAAUGAUUCUAACUAACAUUAUGAUAAGUAGUAUAAUAUCGAAUAAUAAUAUUUGCAAGUUGCACCCGAUCAGUGUAGUGAGUGAAAUAAUAAUAUUAGGAUUUAUUUUUGGAUGUUGUGUGUGUUCGUGUUCGUGUGAUACAAAUUUUAUCGAUGCAAGAAGUGUGCGGACCACCGGCCCCGGGCCCUCUCAACCUUUAUGCGAGUACCUACAUACAUACAUACAUAACUGUGCACCCGUACCGGCACCGUCUACUAUCUACUGUCGUCAAUUAGGAUGCAGUAUGGAUCGCAGACACAUCUCAUCGUCCAGUUUUCCAGUUUCCACCAGCCAUACCACCAGCUAUGACCAGGCACCAGACGCCAGCGGCGCUUCCUCAACGUUAUGCUUAAACGCCACACUAUAUAUGUACAGGGUGAAGGUUUC
rnacentral:lncRNA from 1 species